CUGGCGCAUCCUGUAUAGUAGUGGUUGCUCCUGUUUACUUUUUGAGCAAAGGUUUAUGUUCUACGUUUGGGUGUGGUAAGGCCUCUACAAAGGAGAGGAUGUAUCCAUCACCACCAUAUAGAUCCACGCAGACAUCGAUCGUCUCCAGAAGCUUGUACUUGGAAAGGAUCCAAAACCAGGAUUGCGGGGGCGCUACCUAGUUUCGGUUGUCGUAGGCCGAGAGGAGAUGAGAUGGUGUUUGGAGGAGGAGGGAGGUUUAUUGAUCCACAGUCGUAUCAGCUGACCGUCAUCGAGAGCGCAAGGGCGCGGCGAACUCACGUAUCAAGGAUAGGGACUCGACCCUGUGGCGCGGUUUCCCUCUCCAUGAAUGGGGAGCAGUUGCCAUCGAUCUUUCGUGACGACGGCGACGACGCCUUCUCCGUCGGUGCCAUGACCAGCGCUCUCGGUUAUGCAGUCGACCGCCCGCCGUACCACUCUUGGAUAAUCCAGUCUUCUGGGAAUCCUCGUUGUGUAACACACGUCAAUGACGAAUUUUUCGACUGCUUGCUCAAUAUGGACAACAAACGAAGUUUCGAUUUUCUCUCGGAUACGUUCGAAUUCGAAGGACAAGUUUCAUAAUUUUCACGAAUUCGGUUUUAAUGAGACAUGUUGGCAAGGUCGUUCGAUUAAAAUACGCACGGUGCGUAUCAAGCCGACACGAUUGUUUAUGUUUUCGUAAUGUUCGCGUCAUUGUUUAUCGUGUGGUGUGGCAUUUAGACAACAUGGGGAUCAGUGAUGGUUGUUUCUGUAAUUUUGGUGCUCAAUUGGAUUAUUAAUUGGCGAUGGUGAUAAAUUUCGAUUGGUUUUGGCAACAACUCUUCGAGAGGAUGGUUAUCCUGAUAGUGGCGAUUGGAACCCUCAGGGUUUAGAAACAGAAGGUUCGCGUGCUGACAGCUUUGAGUAUGUCAUGUCUGGAAAAG